GCGCCCGUAGCUCAGAGGAUAGAGCGUCUGCCUUCUAAGCAGAGGGUCGGGGGUUCAAUUCCCUCCGGGCGCGCCA
rnacentral:tRNA from 1 species